rnacentral:rRNA from 1 species
UACGUAGGGUGCGAGCGUUGUCCGGAAUUUUACUGGGCGUAAAGAGCUCGUAGGUGGUUUUUGUCGCGUUUGUCCGUGAAAUUUCCCUGGCUUUAACUGGGGGCGUGCGGGCGAUACGGGCAGACUGGAGUACUGCAGGGGAGACUGGAAUCCUGGUGUAGCGGUGGAAUGCGCAGAUAUCAGGAGGAACACCGGGUGGCGAAGGCGGGACUCUGGGCCGAUACUGACGCUGAGGAGCGAAAGCAUGGGUAGCGAACAGG